rnacentral:lncRNA from 1 species
CUCUCAUCUCCCUGCCAAGACCUCAAAUAAAAUCGUUUCCUCCUGAAAAUGCCCAUCUCGGAACCUUGGCUGUGCCCCGAGGGAGGCACCGGAAUGGCAAAAGUGAGGACAUACGGCUGCCAGCAUCGUCUAUGCUCUAGAUAGGGGUCAAAUGUCAACUUUCUGCCAGGUCCAGCCCGGAUGUGAGGGCUGUGAAGGCAACAACCAAGGAACCAUUCCUUCGGAUGGAAGUCCUAUGGCAGAGAGAAGCUGAUGUUUGAAUUUUCCUGUAGAGCCCUUGAGGUUCCAUGAAUCAGUCUGGGAAGGAUGCAGGUUAAGUGGGAAGCAGAAGCCCUCAAUCACGUGAUGACGGAAAAGCCGAAAAGGCUGGGUUAUACCCUUAGGAAACCUAUUUGUUUCUUGGCUCCCUGCAGGGGCAUGCACACUAGCAAAGGCUCAAUCCCUUCAUUAUUCAUUUGAUCACAAAAGAAGGAAUGAGAGGAAAAAUACUUUUAUUUUUCACCAAGCAAUCACCAAGCGCAGGUAAAGGAACCCAAGCUGGGCCCAAUGCCAAGUGCACUUCUUCAAUGUUACAUUCUGGGACAGGAGAGAGGAUCACUGGUUGAGCCUACCUACUCUGUGGACACAUUGUAAUCCUGAAACUGUUCUGAGCUUCCAUUCAUGGCCAGGACACCUGAUCACUUCAUCGUUGGGUUCUGUGUUUGAAAACUGGGCCAGCUCUGAACCUGGGUGACAGAACACACUGUGGAGAAACCUUGUCUCUAGGAUCUUGCUCAUACACUCUUGGCUCCUCUUGCUCUGGUGGAGCUCCUCAGUGCCCACUGGGAAAGUGAUCUGGCUCCCAAGACCACCAGCCUGUUCAAGUCAUGGAUGGCACCAGUUUUCACAGGCUGAGUGAUUAGAAAACAGACUCUGGGACAGCUGUGUACAUAAGAGUCAUCUGGGCAUUGCUCUUACAAUCCCUGUAGAAGACAAGAGCUCAGAAGCUGACAUAUGAGACUCUGUCGCUCAAAGCCGUGGUUCCCACCUGGAGUGGAAGAGGAAGCAGCGAAACAAGCAGGCAAGUUCAGAGACUCUGAGCUGCUUACGCCCUGGAAGUGCUGCGUGGACUUGGAGAGCAACUUCCUGCAGACUUCCUGUUAGAGAAGAGGACUGGACGUUCAGCUGUGGCUAGAGCAGACCUUCCUUCAGCUUUGUUAUCUGAAGCCCAAAGCCUUCCUACCCAAUGCCAUUGGUUCAAAUCAUGUUUGCUUGUUUGUUUGUUUGAGACAAACUAUUAAGCACUGGUUUACCUGAGACUUUCUAAAUAUCUAAGUACACACGAAGCUAUCCUCAAACGCAGGAAGUUUUUUGACUAAUACAAGGAAUAGCAGAUAUUUUAUCUUUCUCCUUUUCUCAUUUCUCAUUAUGAGAGGGAGAGUGUGCGAGAGCUCUCACUGACACAUGAGGGGGUGUGCAUUCAUGUGGGUCUCGUUGGCCCUGGGUGUCUCCUGUCCUGCCUCUGCUUCUCAAGUACUGGGAUUAAAGGUGUGCACCACCAUGUGUAAUCCAAAAUCAUA